UUCAAGUGCAUCUAUGAGUUUUUUUAAUCUAAUUUUGAUCGUCCAUAUUAUUUGAAAUGUUUUUAUAAUUAGUAUUUUUAUGAGAUGAUAAAACAUUAAUAGUACUUUAUGCAUAACUUAUGUUUUUAAUUUUUUUGAAAUUUUUUUAAAUAAGACGAACGAUUAAAGUUGUACACGGAAAAUCAUAGUCAAUGUAACG
rfam:Oryza glumipatula chromosome 3, whole genome shotgun sequence.